rnacentral:lncRNA from 1 species
UUUAGUUAUGUUUUUAAUUUUGUGUGUUUAAUAAAUUUUUGGUUGAUUGAGUGGCAAACCCUUCUAGAUUGGUUGCUCCUCAAGAAGUACCCAAUGAAGGUGCAUCCGAGCUUGGAUGGCAAUGAUAAGAAUAAACAAGUGAAUGAAGCUAAGGUACAUGGUUACCGUCGGCUAGAACUUUAGAAUGCAUUAGGAACUUUACUCUUUUUGGUAAAUUGAAUAUUGUCUUUUUGCAACAUAAUUGAAUGAAUGUUUCAUUUAGAACUUAAAACCACAAAUUGUGAGGAAACCUCCAUUUGUUCACUUAAAUGCUGGAUUCUAAUAAGUUUUGUUGAUUCAUGUGAUUCAUGCUUUGUCUUUUAUUAUUGUGAAAUUGAAGAAGCAAUUAGAAAUGAUCAAGGCACUUGUUUUCUUUUGAGCACAACUACAUCCAAAAACAACUUACCUGUGAGCAGAUAGAGUAUUUGUUAACCCCUUUGAGCCUAAACAGUUGAAUCUCGGCUUGAAAUAAAGCGAGAUCUCAAAAAUCUUUUUUUUACAACCCGGAAAAUCUUGAUUAUUGUUCUUUUGCUGUAAAAAGUUAAGAGCAUUCACUUAGGGUGUGGAAGAAAUAAGUUGGGGAGAACGAAAAAGAAUUGGUAAGUACCACAACUCUUGAAAAAGAAAAGAAAAACCGAGCAAGCAUAGAAAAAUAUAUGUAUAGAAAAUAUAGAAAAGAAANAAGCAUAGAAAAAUAUAUGUAUAGGAAAUAUAGAAAAGAAACAUCUGUUUGUAUAUAUGAUGUGAAAGAAAAGAACAAAAAUAAAAGAAUGAAAAUGAAUGCUUGCUUGGAAGAAAAAAAUAAAAAUAGAGUUGUGGAAUAUGUGUUGUGAAGGUUUCAAAUAAGAAACAAAUGAAACAAAGUCGAGUAGUGUGAAUAAUACUGUGAAUGUCUCUUUUGCAUCGGCACUUUCGUUUCAAUGGCCUUAGA